AUUUAUAUAGUUUAAUAAAAACAUUACAUUUUCAUUGUAAAAUUAGAUCUUUAUCUUAUAAAUAC
rnacentral:tRNA from 1 species